AGAAAACGGAGAAAAACAAAAUACAAACCGGAAUGAAAACAAAACGCUGGGAAACCCUGAAAAUGAAAGUGAAGCUGGGGAUCCUAGGAGUAUUUGCGGUAGCUGGCUUGGCCUGAUCUACUUAUCCUGCCAUCUUCUUUGUCCAACUGAAAGCUGUUUGGAUAAAUGUAAAAAUGUAUAUGGGCCACACAAGAAGGUGUGUCUCCCAACACAGUCUCAAGAGCAUGGAGAAGAUACCAGGACACAUGCUAUUUGAGAAAAGCUGAACAAAGGUAUAGAAAGACAUCAAACCAGCAGCAAAACCGGCAUCUGCUCCUUUGUGCAAGGAGGAACAGCAGGAGCACUUCCAGAGCCCUACAAAAUGACCUCCAGCAGGCUAAUGGUGUGCAUGUUUCUGACCAAACUGACUGAUCUUGAUUGGCGUUCGCCAGAGAACAACAGAAUUGGCAGGUUUGCCAUUGCCACCCUCUUCUCAGACUGAGUACAUGUGACAGACACAAAAGAGUUCGGAGAUGCCAUGGUGAACGUUAUGCUUCCUGCAUGACAGGUUUGGUGGUAAGUCAGUUAUGAUCUGGGGAGGCAAAUCCUUAGAGGGUCACACAAACCUCCAUGAAAAUGCCAACGGUACCCUGACUCUAUUAAGUACCAGGAUGAAAUCCACAAAAAGGGCCCUGGGUUACUCCUGGUGCAUGACAAUGUUUGGCCUUAUGUUGCCAGAGUGUGUAGGCAGUUCCUGGAUGACAAAGGCAUUAAUGCCACUGAGUGGCCCUCAUGCUCCCCAGACCCCAAUCCAAUUAAGAACGUCUGGGAUGUACCAGUGCAUCCGAUGCUGCCAACUAUCAACACAGACUGUCCAGGAGCUCACUGAUGUCCUGAUCCAGGACUGGGAGGAGAUCCUCCAGGACACUAUCCACACUAUCCAUUAUUAUGAAGAUUUUUAACUUGAAUGUUUCCUUCAUCGAGAUCCAAUGUGUGAUUUAAGUGCUUACUUAAUUUGUCCUUAACUAAAUACAGCUAAAACGAUUUGCUAAUCA